rnacentral:lncRNA from 10 species
CCGCCAUCAAUAUACAAUAAGAAAUCCAGCUUUUCCACUCCAGCUGGCAGCUUUUCUGCUACACAGAUUAGCUUUUUCAUGAACAAAAACUGGCACAUCUGAUCUAUUGGAAUUUUAUGGCUGCUUAAUGGAAUUUAUUGAAGGCAGCUCAGCAAAGUAGUGUUGCUAUGUCUAGUCAUGCCUCAGGAAGUGUCUGUACUUAAACCCCAAUAUGAAAAAGCAUUCAAAUCCCAGCACUUUGGGAGGCUGAGGCAGGAGGAUC